AAAAUCCGUCGAUUGUAGAAAUCGUGAGG
rnacentral:tRNA from 1 species